rnacentral:rRNA from 1 species
CGUGAACGCUGGCGGUAGGCCUAACACAUGCAAGUCGAACGGCAGCACAGUAAGAGCUUGCUCUUACGGGUGGCGAGUGGCGGACGGGUGAGGAAUACAUCGGAAUCUACUUUUUCGUGGGGGAUAACGUAGGGAAACUUACGCUAAUACCGCAUACGACCUACGGGUGAAAGCAGGGGAUCUUCGGACCUUGCGCGAUUGAAUGAGCCGAUGUCGGAUUAGCUAGUUGGCGGGGUAAAGGCCCACCAAGGCGACGAUCCGUAGCUGGUCUGAGAGGAUGAUCAGCCACACUGGAACUGAGACACGGUCCAGACUCCUACGGGAGGCAGCAGUGGGGAAUAUUGGACAAUGGGCGCAAGCCUGAUCCAGCCAUACCGCGUGGGUGAAGAAGGCAUUCGGGUUGUAAAGCCCUUUUGUUGGGAAAGAAAAGCAGCAGGUUAAUACCCCGCUGUUCUGACGGUACCCAAAGAAUAAGCACCGGCUAACUUCGUG